UUAAUUUGUCAAUUAAUCUACACAGUCCCUAUGUCACAGAAGGACUGUCAAAGUCAAUCCAAAACUAAGAUGCAUUGAAUUUUGUGUUUAGUGAUCUUAAAUAACGAUGUCAGCACGGAUCCUGGUCGCGCACUUCUGGGAAACCGCAUUCUUCUUGCUGAUACUCUUCGCCGCAUACCUCUCCAUCAGGGGGCUGAUCAGAGCCACCAGGAGGUCUACGUGCUGAGUGGACUGUUACGAACAUUUCUUAAUACAGAGUUGGCAUAACGCGGCGCCGUUGAGAUUGUGAUAAUGACUGUGGAAGCAGAUGCUGUAAUCUUAGGAUUGAUUUUGUAUUUCCUCCUUGUUGGCUUGCUUAUCUUGGUCAACGAAACGUUCUGCAAAGCCUCAUGUAUGAAGAAUGCACGUCGACUAGACAACGAAGAUCCGCCUGACGUCGAACUGAAUGAAAGAAGACCACCAAACAGUCUUUUUAGUUCGUCAAAUUUACGGGUAUACCAAGGUACGGGCGAUGUACCGCGAGUUCAUAGAAAUUAUUAAGUUAUAACGUCGACAAAAGAGGGCGCUGUUCUAAAUUUUGUCAAUUUUGUCAUAACAAAUAAAAAGUCACACUUUAAAA